UGAGUCGGCCAGGCGACCGCGUUCCCUUCGGGGACCGAGGAACGUCCGGGCUCCACAGGGCAGGGUGGUGGCUAACGGCCACCCGGGGUGACCCGCGGGACAGUGCCACAGAAAACAGACCGCCCCUCGCAGCGCGGGGGGUAAGGGUGAAACGGUGCGGUAAGAGCGCACCAGCGCGGCGGGUGACCGCCGCGGCUCGGUAAACCCCACCCGGAGCAAGGCCAGACAGGGAGUGAGUCGCCCGCUCAACGCUCCCGGGUAGGCCGCUGGAGGCACGCGGCAACGCGUGUCGUAGAUGGAUGGUCGCCGUUCGCCGCCGGGUAACCGGCGGCGUUCACAGAACCCGGCGUAUCGGCCGACUCAUCCA
rnacentral:RNase_P_RNA from 1 species